rnacentral:rRNA from 1 species
CGCGUAGGCGGCCCGCCAAGUCCGGGGUGAAAUCCUCCCGCCCAACGGGAGAAGUGCCUUGGAUACUGGCGGGCUCGAGCGGGGUAGGGGCAUGUGGAACUUCCGGUGGAGCGGUGAAAUGCGUAGAUAUCGGAAGGAACGCCGGUGGCGAAAGCGACGUGCUGGACCCCCCCCUGACGCUGAGGCGCGAAAGCCAGGGGAGCGAACG